CUGUAGCUCAGCUGGAUAGAGCAACGGCCUUCUAAGCCGUGGGUCGCGGGUUCGAAUCCCUCCAG
rnacentral:tRNA from 1 species